GAAUAUUGGACAAUGGGAGCAACCCUGAUCCAGCCAUGCCGCGUGUGUGAAGAAGGCUUUCGGGUUGUAAAGCACUUUCAGUGGGGAAGAAGGCCUUGGGCUUAAUACGCUUGAGGAGGGACAUCACCCACAGAAGAAGCACCGGCUAACUCCGUGCCAGCAGCCGCGGUAAUACGGAGGGUGCGAGCGUUAAUCGGAAUUACUGGGCGUAAAGCGCGCGUAGGCGGCUAAGUAAGCAGGUUGUGAAAGCCCCGGGCUCAACCUGGGAACGGCAUCCGGAACUGUCAGGCUAGAGUGCAGGAGAGGAAGGUAGAAUUCCCGGUGUAGCGGUGAAAUGCGUAGAGAUCGGGAGGAAUACCAGUGGCGAAGGCGGCCUUCUGGACUGACACUGACACUGAGGUGCGAAAGCGUGGGUAGCAAACAGG
rnacentral:rRNA from 1 species